rnacentral:rRNA from 1 species
UCCAGACUCCUACGGGAGGCAGCAGUGGGGAAUUUUGGACAAUGGGCGCAAGCCUGAUCCAGCUAUUCCGCGUGUGGGAUGAAGGACCUCGGGUUGUAAACCACUUUUGUAGAGAACGAAAAGACACCCCUUAAUAAAGGGUGUUGCUGACGGUACUCUAAGAAUAAGCACCGGCUAACUACGUGCCAGCAGCCGCGGUAAUACGGAGGAUGCGAGCGUUAUCCGGAUUUAUUGGGUUUAAAGGGUGCGUAGGCGGUUUAUCAAGUCAGCGGUAAAAGCGGGGAGCUCAACUCCAGCCAGCCGUUGAAACUGAUGAUCUUGAGUGGGCGAGAAGUAUGCGGAAUGCGUGGUGGAGCGGUGAAAUGCAUAGAUAUCACGCAGAACUCCGAUUGCGAAGGCAGCAUACCGGGGCCCGACUGACGCUGAAGCACGAAAGCGUGGGUAUCGAACAGGAUUAGGUACCCGGGUACA